rnacentral:rRNA from 1 species
UUACAGAACGCCCGGGGCUUCGGCCUGGUUAUUCAUAACCCUUUGUUGUCCGACUCUGUUGCCUCCGGGGCGACCCUGCCUUCGGGCGGGGGCUCCGGGUGGACACUUCAAACUCUUGCGUAACUUUGCAGUCUGAGUAAACUUAAUUAAUAAAUUAAAACUUUUAACAACGGAUCUCUUGGUUCUGGCAUCGAUGAAGAACGCAGCGAAAUGCGAUAAGUAAUGUGAAUUGCAGAAUUCAGUGAAUCAUCGAAUCUUUGAACGCACAUUGCGCCCCCUGGUAUUCCGGGGGGCAUGCCUGUUCGAGCGUCAUUUCACCACUCAAGCCUCGCUUGGUAUUGGGCAACGCGGUCCGCCGCGUGCCUCAAAUCGUCCGGCUGGGUCUUCUGUCCCCUAAGCGUUGUGGAAACUAUUCGCUAAAGGGUGUUCGGGAGGCUACGCCGUANAACAACCCCAUUUCUAAGGUUGACCUCGGAUCAGGUAGGGAUACCCGCUGAACUUAAGCAUAU